CUGGUGAGUUUUCAGUACGUAGUGCCUAUAAAUUAUUACAAGAUGCUUCUACAGCCAAUGACUACUUACUACAGACCGAAAUAAAAAAUUUUACAAAAAAUUAUGGAGCCAACAAUUGCCUUCAAAAAUUGCAAUUACAAUUUGGAGGAUUUCAUGGGAUUAUAUCCCUCAUCUUGGUAAUCUCAAUUUGAGGAGGGUCAUUUCAACUGCCUGUUGUCCACGGUGUUAUUCUGGAGUAGAAGAGAGUCUUCAUGUUUUCCGAGAGUGUCCUUUCACAAGAGAAGUGUGGCAAUCAUUAAAUUUAUCAUGGGUCAUGGAGAAUACGAGUCAGAAUACAUGGGAGUGGCUAACCUGGGUUUUCAAGAACAGCAACUAUUACCAAUGUCGGCUUUUCUGCUAUGCGUUAUGGUUGAUAUGGUCCUUUAGAAAUAAACUCAUUCACGAGGGGAAAAAUUCAACAGGAAGGGGAUUAGCUCAGAAUAUUCAAAGACAUAUGGCAGAAUAUGAAGGAAUAAAUGCUGUGAAGAAAACUGAGAAAAUUUUCAGGAGUCACAGAAUACAGGAAAACGUACCGAGAAUAUCGAUCAAAUUUGAUACAGCACUGGACAGUAGAACCUCUAAAUCAACGACUGGAUUAGUAGGUUGGGAUAUGAGGGGAAAUCUACUGGUGUUAAAAACGGUUAUCCACAUAAAUGUCCCCUCACCAUUCGCAGCAGAGGCAUAUGCAUGUUUAGAAGGCAUGAAAUUAGGGAUUGCAUUAGGAUCUCAGUCAGUUAGAAUUAUGGGAGACUCAAAAACCGUCAUAAAGAAGAGCAAGGCGACUUCAACAGACAGAUCGGUAAUAGGUGCCAUUAUAAAAGAUAUUCAGAACAAGAAAUCCUUUUUUCAAGAUCUUACUUUUAAGCACAUCCAUAGAUCAGAAAACACACAUGCACAUGGUCUAGCAAAGAAAGCUCUUGCGAAAGAAGAAAACAUUUACCUGAUAGGAGAAGAACUGGAACGUCAUAUUUCAACCUUGGAUGAAGAUUGGCAAAGAAAUCCGGAUUGAAGAAAUGGGUGAAAGAGCAACAUCCAAUAUAGAUAGCUUAAUGAUGUUUAAAUCUGUGGGGAAGAGCUAUCGACACAACAGAUGGGACCUUGGAAAUGACUCUUCAAUAGCCUUUAUGGUUUCCAGCUGUUCUGAUUAUUGACUGGGAUAGGAUUUUGUUCGGUUGAUUUUAAUUUCAUUUAAUGCUUUUGUUUUUCU
rnacentral:lncRNA from 1 species